AGAAUCAACGCUGGCGGCGUGCCUAACACAUGCAAGUCGAACGAGAAAGUGGAGCAAUCCAUGAGUAAAGUGGCGACCGGGUGAGUAACACGUGACUAACCUACCUUUCAGUGGGGAAUAACCUCGGGAAACCGGGGCUAAUACCGCAUAAUGUCUUCGGACCAAAGGAGCAAUUCGCUGGAAGAGGGGGUCGCGGCCGAUUAGCUAGUUGGCGGGGUAACGGCCCACCAAGGCAAUGAUCGGUAG
rnacentral:rRNA from 1 species